rnacentral:rRNA from 1 species
AGAGUUUGAUCCUGGCUCAGGAUUAAUGCUAGCGGCGUGCCUUAUGCAUGCAAGUCGAACGGUUCUGAUUUAUCAGGAUAGUGGCAAACGGGUGAGUAACACGUAAGUAACCUACCCCGAAGUAAGGAAUAAUCUACCGAAAGGUGGACUAAUACCUUAUGUGGUGUCUUCCCGCUGGGGAGGCCACCAAAGUCUUCGGACGCUUUGGGAGGGGCUUGCGUCCGAUUAGCUAGUUGGUGAGGUAACGGCCCACCAAGGCGAUGAUCGGUAGCUGGUUUGAGAGAAUGACCAGCCACACUGGGACUGAGACACGGCCCAGACUCCUACGGGAGGCAGCAGCAAGGAAUAUUGCGCAAUGGGCGAAAGCCUGACGCAGCGACGCCGCGUGAGGGAAGAAGGCCUUCGGGUCGUAAACCUCUUUUCUUGGGGAAGAAUAAUGACGGUACCCAGGGAAUAAGUCACGGCUAACUACGUGCCAGCAGCCGCGGUAAUACGUAGGUGGCGAGCGUUGUCCGGAAUCAUUGGGCGUAAAGAGCGCGUAGGUGGCUUGUCAGGUCUGAUGUGAAAACCUGGGGCUCAACCCCAGGCCUGCAUCGGAAACCGGCUUGCUAGAGUCUGG